rnacentral:rRNA from 1 species
AGGACGAACGCUGGCGGCGCGCUUAAAACAUGCAAGUCGAACGUGAAGCCCGGGCUUGCCCGGGUGGAAAGUGGCGAACGGGUGAGUAACACGUGAGGAACCUGCCCCGGAGACCGGGAUAACCCAGGGAAACUUGGGCUAAUACCGGAUGUCUUCAUUGGAUCGCAUGGUCGGAUGAAGAAAUGGAUUCCGCUCCGGGAUGGCCUCGCGGCCUAUCAGCUUGUUGGUGAGGUAACGGCUUACCAAGGCUUCGACGGGUAGCUGGUCUGAGAGGACGAUCAGCCACACUGGGACUGAGACACGGCCCAGACUCCUACGGGAGGCAGCAGUUAGGAAUCUUGCACAAUGGGGGAAACCCUGAUGCAGCGACGCCGCGUGCGGGACGAAGGCCUUCGGGUUGUAAAGCUCUGUUCUCAGGAAAAGAAGUGAUUGUACCUGAGAAGAAAGGACGGCUAACUUCGUGCCAGCAGCCGC